rnacentral:lncRNA from 1 species
GGUUAGUAAUGCCUAACCACCAAAGACAAGGGAUGCAUGGUUAUAAGAAUGAGAUACAAGUCCAGAACAAUAAUCAGAAUGAUUUCGCAUGCAGGGAUAUACGGAGAUAAGUAGUUAGUCUUGUUAUCCUUAGAACUGAAAUAGAUGGGCAGACUAAUAGAGCCUUAUUUCAUCUGAAUAACUGAAAAACUGUAAGUCUGGUGAGCAAAGGGCCCCAACUGAUGUCACAAAAAUAGUGAUUUAAGUUCUCUCAUACAAUUUUCAGACUGGAACUAGUUCACAGACCCAAAGAUGCUUGAAUGAAGGAAAGGCAAUCUUCCCUGGAGGAAGAACUCAACAGCACUUCCACAAACAGUACAUUCCGGACUCUUCAUUCCUGCCUUGUGUGACCCAGGGAUGGAGGACUGCCCUUCCAACUCAUUAUCCUCUUUGCCCAGGAGCUGUGUGAGACAGAUGGUCAUGCAGUGGAGAAUAAAUGAGGACCCUUUAAUCCAGCUGGUGCUUUGCUUGUCUCACUUGUGGUGUUGGAUGCAUUCGGCUAACAGUGGGAAUCCGGGGGACUGUGUGGUAAGGAUGAGUGGGGUCAUAUACUGGGCUGCCUUUUUUCCCAGUACACAGUAGAAUGGCCAUGCAAGUUGUUAAAAUACUAAAAUAUUUUUGCACUCGUUGAUAAAUAGCAACUGGUUAGGGCCCCUUAACACUAAGCUGUUCCCGUCACCCACCACCCUGGAUUCCUGUGUCCCAGCUCUGGAGUAUUUGGACCUGCCUUCCCACAUCCAGUUGGAUUGAUACCUGGUACAAAAAGAAGCCUUAGGACUUCUGUUACUGCUUUUUAAAACCACUUGUAUCUAUUUGUUUUUACCCUGUAUGCAACCCAACUAAUUAUUAUAUAUGUUAGAAUAGUAGUUGUUUUAGUCCACUUUGCAUUCCCAUAAAGGAAUACCCGAGACUGGGUAAUUUAUAAAGAAAAGAGGUUUGUUUGGUUCACAGUUCUGGAGGCUGUACAAGCAUGGCAUCAACAUCUGCU